GACAGAGGUCCCGAGCGUUAGGCGGAAUCACUGGGCUUAAAGCGUGUGUAGGCGGAUUGGUAAGUACCUUGUGAAAUCCCACGGCUUAACCGUGGAACUGCUUGGUAUACUGCUUAUCUUGGGCCACUUAGGGGUUACCGGAACAAACGGUGGAGCGGUGAAAUGCGUAGAUAUCGUUUGGAACGCCAAAGGUGAAAACAGGUCGCUGGGGCUGAGCUGACGCUGAGACACGAAAGCCAGGGGAGCGAACGGG
rnacentral:rRNA from 1 species